ensembl:snRNA U2 U2 spliceosomal RNA
AUUGCUUCUCGGCCUUUUGGCUAAGAUCAAGUGUUGUAACUCUCACCUUCCAGCUGUGGCUGUCAUCUCACACACUACAUGCUUUGCUUGUUUAUUGCUUAUCACACUGCUCUCUGGAUGUAGGCUACAGAAGAGAGGGUUUCUGUCUGAAUCCCUCCUCCUGUCCUCCCAUACUACAAGAGUACCUAGAAUGCAGUGGACAUUCCCU